GGCUGGGCACUGCUUUUGUCGUGGGCACAGUGGCAGACAAGGCAGCCCAUAUGCUCAAUUGUUUAAGAGGAGAGGCGGAGAGGUGUCGGAGUAAUGAUUAAUGGAAAUGUGAGUGACUCUGCAGCAGCAACACAACAACAUCUGGUCUUGCAUCGGGCCCUUGUGCACAUCCAGUGGAUCGGUGGUGGUCCCGUAGCUCGACUGGAAUAGGAACAAACACAUCAUUAAAUCAGCAAUGUCCCACUGUCGUCAUCAUUAUGAAACUCAGUUUGAUGCCAACAUCUUUCAUUAAAAUAAAAACAUGCAGCCAUUUGGGGCCCCGAGUUCCCUCGGUACGGAAAUAUGACGCUAAUCACGGACACAGUGCAAGCCAAGCCUGGGGAAAACUGCUCUCUGCUUUAGGAGGGUUUUCAAAGAACACCAUUAAAAAAUAAUAAUUGAUGAAGUUGGCUCUGAGCAAAGGCACUAAGCACUUUAAAAGCCUUUCGUCGUCUUACAAUACAAUUUCCAAAUCAAUAUUUCAUUAACUGGAUAGAGGUGCAAUGUUCCUUGUUAAUAAAGAAGGUUUGGCUCAGCACAGA